GAUGAACGCUGGCGGCGUGCCUAAUACAUGCAAGUCGAGCGAACAGACGAGGAGCUUGCUCCUCUGACGUUAGCGGCGGACGGGUGAGUAACACGUGGAUAACCUACCUAUAAGACUGGGAUAACUUCGGGAAACCGGAGCUAAUACCGGAUAAUAUAUUGAACCGCAUGGUUCAAUAGUUAAAGACGGUUUUGCUGUCACUUAUAGAUGGAUCCGCGCCGCAUUAGCUAGUUGGUAAGGUAACGGCUUACCAAGGCAACGAUGCGUAGCCGACCUGAGAGGGUGAUCGGCCACACUGGAACUGAGACACGGUCCAGACUCCGACGGGAGGCAGCAGUAGGGAAUCUUCCGCAAUGGGCGAAAGCCUGACGGAGCAACGCCGCGUGAGUGAUGAAGGUCUUCGGAUCGUAAAACUCUGUUAUUAGGGAAGAACAAAUGUGUAAGUAACUAUGCACGUCUUGACGGUACCUAAUCAGAAAGCCACGGCUAACUACGUG
rnacentral:rRNA from 1 species